rnacentral:rRNA from 1 species
GACGAACGCUGGCGGCGCGCUUAACACAUGCAAGUCGAACGGAAAGGCCUGCUUUCCCUUGUGGAUUGCGGGUACUCGAGUGGCGAACGGGUGAGUAACACGUGAGUGAUCUGCCCCCAACUUGGGUAUAAGCCUGGGAAACUGGGUCUAAUUCCCGAUAGGACUGCAGGGUGGUGCCUGUGGUGGAAAACGAUUUUCUAGUGGUUGGGGAUGAGCUCGCGGCCUAUCAGCUUGUUGGUGGGGUAAUGGCCUACCAAGGCGGCGACGGGUAGCCGGCCUGAGAGGGUGGACGGCCACAUUGGGACUGGGAUACGGCCCAGACUCCUACGGGAGGCAGCAGUGGGGAAUAGUGCACAAUGGGCGGAAGCCUGAUGCAGCGACGCCGCGUGGGGGAUGACGGCCUUCGGGUUGUAAACUCCUUUCGACCGCGAGGAAGCCACCUGGUUGGAAGGGUGGUGACGGUAGUGGUAGAAGAAGCACCGGCUAACUACGUG